CGCGAGUCGGAGAUGAUUGAAACUCAAGAGGCGCAGCGAAAGCGAAGGGAUGUCUAGGCAGCCCUUGGCGGGAUCCCGCGAUUCGUCGUGGGCGCACCGUCGUCCUCCCGUCAGGGGGAGCGAGAGCGAUCGCGUUGGUACCCGAAAGAUGGUGAACUAUGCCUGGACAGGACGAAGCCAGAGGAAACUCUGGUGGAGGUCCGCAGCGAUUCUGACGUGCAAAUCGAUCGUCCGAGCUGGGUAUAGGGGCGAAAAACUAAUCGAACCAUCUA
rnacentral:rRNA from 1 species